GGGCCGGUCGUUCAGCUUGGUUAGGACACUGCGUUCACACCGCAGAGGUCGCCGGUUCAAGUCCGGCCCGGCCCACCA
rnacentral:tRNA from 1 species